rnacentral:rRNA from 1 species
GGGGGGGGGGGGGGGGGGGGGGGGGGGGGGGGGGGGGGGGGGGGGGGCCGUGCGGGGGGGGGGGGGGCGGGGGGCGGACGGGUGGGUAGCACGUGAGUGGCCUGCGCUUGGCGUUGGGCGCACGGCAGGAAGCUGGGGCUAAUACCGGCUGGGAGCUCCUGCUGCAUGGUGGGGGGUGGAAAGUUUCGGCGGGUGGGGAUGGACUCGCGGCUUAUCAGCGUGUGGGUGGGGUCGGGGCUUACCAAGGCUUUGACGGGUAGCCGGCCUGAGAGGGUGACCGGCCACAUUGGGACUGAGAUACGGCCCAGACUCCUACGGGAGGCAGCAGUGGGGAAUAUUGCACAAUGGGCGGAAGCCUGAUGCAGCAACGCCGCGUGCGGGAUGACGGCCUUCGGGUUGUAAACCGCUUUCGCCUGUGACGAAGCGUGAGUGACGGUAAUGGGUAAAGAAGCACCGGCUAACUACGU